UCUCUCUCUCUCUCUCUCUCUCUCUCUCUCUCAGACAACCUCUCUCUUGGACUCUGACCCGGCGUCCUCAUCCAAUUCCAACGUGGACAGCCAGAACUCACCGCCGCAGCGGAGUCGUAGCCACUGCAGCCAACAACGCCGCGAUUCCAAGGACAGCGACGAUGGUUUCUUUUCUGUUAGUAGGAUUCAAUCGUCUCAGAAGAUGGCACUUAAAGUCGCGAAGAAAGUGAAGGCGGCGUCUGGUUAUUCAAGCAAAUCUCAACGAAAAGAACGAAAGUUUGGAAUUGUGCAUUGCCUUAUCAAUGGUCCGUGUUGGCGCCGAUGGUAUAGUUAUUCUCGGUCUCUUCGCAGAACCUUCUGUUGGUGAAGUAUGUGACUACCCAUAAAUUGUUGAACAUUGAAAGUCUCCUCAUUAAGUAUGAUAUCAAUCUUUUUUUUUGUCUCUACAGUUCAUUCAAUCCCAUCAUGCUAUUACUAUUGUGUUUGUUAAAAUGCAUGUUUGAAAUAGUGAAAAUAGUGGGAAGUGAGUUAGUUCUUGGAGGGCUGAAGUGAGUCAAGUGACAACCCCUAUGCUUUAAAAACUGGAAAAUCAUGGCUGUUGUGAAAACAAUAGUUUACGAAAAAUGAUAUUUUAGUAGUGGGCUUGAGAUGGAUAAUUUCUGAUGUUUGUUCACCAUCCCCUGCCCAUCCCGCAACACACACAUGCAUGACUCAAAAAAUGGGCAAGUUGAUAUAAAAAUUUCCAAUAUGGUUUUGUCAUUGUGUCGAGUCUAAUGAGAAUUCUAGCAUAGAAAAAGUUUUUUUCCUGAUUCUUUUUGUUUGAUUAAAGCUGAAAACCAUGAUGGAAGAGGAACAAAUAGAAUUCCAGCCCAAUGAAGAGGAAUCGAUGAUGAAACUGGAAAAGGCUCUAGUUGAGUUAAACCCAACACUACCAUUGGUUAGUUUCAAAAGCAAUGAAGCUAUGUGGUUAGGGUAUCUAUUUGUCUCUCUUCUUGGCCAGCAGGGAUGCAGUCUUUCGGGAUUGCUUUGUGGUUAGGCUAUCAUAUAGCUGUUUUGCUGGCUAUUUUUUGUUGUUGAUGGGUGCCUGAGGCGUAUACUUUAGUGCAAAAGUGCAAAACCACAUCAACUGGAGUGACUUACAAUUUUCUUGCAUAAUGCGGUUUAACAUGAAAUUGACUACUUUGAAAUUAAUUGCUUGCUUUGGUGGAGUACAUAGGGAUGACCGUUGCAUGACUGCAUGAGCAUGGAGGCUGAACUUCAGGUGUUAGCCCCAAUACUUGGAUAUAUCUGGGGACAAGGACCGACUCAAGUAGAAAGAGGGGGCUGAAAGCGAUGAAUCUAAUCAAAGAAAACCAGCUCCUCACCACCUUCAUAGCAAUCUAAUCGAGGAAUGCAAGAUCAUGAUGUAUUGUAGUAACAAACUAACAGCUCUACAAAAAAAAAAAACUCCAUGAGAGGGCAACAAAGUGACUGAUGUCUUGGAAGAUAUAGGAAUUUAAUGGAAAGAAAUGGUUUCCGUUGAAACA